UACGUAGGGUGCGAGCGUUGUCCGGAAUUACUGGGCGUAAAGAGCUCGUAGGUGGUUUGUCGCGUUGUUCGUGAAAACUCACAGCUUAACUGUGGGCGUGCGGGCGAUACGGGCAGACUGGAGUACUGCAGGGGAGACUGGAAUUCCUGGUGUAGCGGUGAAAUGCGUAGAUAUCUGGAGGAACACCGGUGGCGAAGGCGGCAUCCUGGACCGGUAUUGACGCUGAGGCGCGAAAGCCAGGGGAGCAAACGGG
rnacentral:rRNA from 1 species